AUUGAACGCUGGCGGCAUGCCUUACACAUGCAAGUCGAACGGCAGCACGGGUGCUUGCACCUGGUGGCGAGUGGCGAACGGGUGAGUAAUACAUCGGAACAUGUCCUGUAGUGGGGGUUAGCCCGGCGAAAGCCGGAUUAAUACCGCAUACGAUCUACGGAUGAAAGCGGGGGACCUUCGGGCCUCGCGCUUUAGUGUUUGCCGAUGGCUUAUUAGCUAGUUGGUGGGGUAAAGGCCUACCAAGGCGACGAUCAGCAGCUGGUCUGAGAGGACGACCAGCAACACUGGGACUGAGACAAGGCCAAGAGUACUAAGGGAGGCAGCAGUGGGGAAUUUUGGACAAUGGGCGAAAGCAUGAUCCAGAAAUGCCGAGUGUGUGAAGAAGGCCUUAGGGGUGUAAAGAACUUUUGUCCGGAAAGAAAUCCUUGGCCCUAAUACGGUCGGGGGAUGACGGUACCGGAAGAAUAAGCACCGGCUAACUACGUG
rnacentral:rRNA from 1 species